CGAACCAGCUCCCCUCAGGUUGGGCUUAAUAAAUGCCAGAUCGGUGGCGAAUAAGACCUUCAUCCUGAAGGAUUUCUUUUCUUCCCAUGCAUUGGAUUUCCUCUGUUUGACUGAAACCUGGACUUCACCCGGUUCUGAUUGGUUGCUGAAGGCUCCCAGCGCAAAUAUAAACCAAAAUAAGGCAGAGCAUGGUGAUUGGUGAUUGGUCUUCCUUCACACUUUGUCUCAUGCACCACUGAGGACUACUACUACUACUAGAGAGAAGUAGGACGGCUGGCCCAACUCUUCUUCCUGUUGUAAACUGUCAUGGUUUAAUAUCAACAAAAAGCAAUGAAAAAUGGAAAAAUAAUGAACAUGAAUGUCAAUUUACCUUGGAAUGCCAGUCAGUUAUUAACUAAAAACAUUAUUUUAUUGGAGUCUCCAUUAUAAUCACAGUAAUGGACUACUGAUUACAUCACAAAACAAUCACUGGUGAUAUAUCACACUAUCUCUGUAAGUGAGGAAGAAAGCAUACCC
ensembl:lncRNA